rnacentral:lncRNA from 1 species
GGAGAGAGCGAGCGAGAGAAGGGAAAAAAAAAAGCUGUCUCACUCAAACUGGCCUUUCUCGGAAAAGGAUCCUUCCCCGAUGAUUGUCCGGAUAAGCGGAGCUAAAUCCAGCCACUACUCCACAACAAAACCACUCUCUUCCACGGAGCUGCAGAGGAGCAGAUGCCUGGAUAAGGAUCAUCUCAGUGCCUCAGGCUGCCACGGUCCCAAGCUGUCCUUGAGGCUGAGGUAGUAGAUUGAAUAGUUGUGGAGUCUGGUCCUCCCUUUGAGCUAACUAUACAAUCUACUGUCUUUCCUAAGGAGACAGUCAGGUCUUCAGGUCUCAUCAUCUACUUCUACACCAAGUUCUCAUCAUCUACUUCUACACCCAGCGUGGAGGCAGGUGGUGCAAGGAAAGCAAAUCUGUGAAUCUGCAGCGUCCCUGAGUCGGACGAGACCUCCGUUCUGCUCUGUGGAGAGCAGCAAAAGCGCUGGAGGAGCUCCCGAGGCAUCGCUUCUUUCUGCUGAGGAUCCUAAAACACAGCGUGGCACUGUUGAACAGCUCAGUGGGUCUUCUCUUACAGCAGCCAGGAUUGCAUUCUUCCAGGAACUGCUCCGUGCCUCAGGCACAUGAGCAUGGGGGCACCUGCUUACAAACCCACCUCUGUUUAAUGGGUGCAGGAGAAACUGUGAAAUGGGUCUGUGCAUCAGCUCCUGGUGUUCAGUUCUACUCCCUUUUUGCAGGAGAUGAGCUCCAGUUGUGAAGUGUUCAAAUCUGUUGUUCUUUUCUGGUCUGUCAGGGCUGGAGGGGAGCAAAUGGGACAGAUUUGAGCUCACGAUUUAAGUUGGUUUCACCCAAUUCUGAAGUUUGGGUUAAGAACUAAACCCAAGGGCAAGCGUAGCCUGUGGACUCAGAGCCCCGGGAGCUGAGCAGAUCUGGCUGCUUGGCCCCUGCUCAGGAAGUGCAUUUUGUUUUGGACAAGUUCCCAGCUGUCCCAUGGUAUGGAGUUACAGGGUGGUUCUUUGUGAUCUGAUAAUUC